UCCUGACUCCUAUGGGCUGUUGGCUGCCCUGGAAGUGCAGGCGGCAAGCCCAGGCCCUUCAAGAGAGCCAGGCAGUGUGGCUCUGGGCAAAUCACUCCCCCUCUCUGGGCCUGUUUCUGCUUCUCUUGGUGGAUGAAGGACGCUGUCCUGCCAAGCUCAGAAUGGCAGUGAUUUUAUGACAUGCUCUCCUUUCUGGGAGGACGGUCCAUUCUCCUCAUGCCCUCAUUCAUGUGGGAUGGGGCAUGCCCCCAAGACACAUCAAGCUAUCCCACUAGCAGCCCUUGGCUGUAGAAAGCCCCCCCACCCAGUGCAGGGAUAAGGGUGACCCUUCAGAGUUGAAAGGGGUGACCAGGAACCUGGGAGAGUCCCAGGAAAGCCCAGGGUUGGAGCUUCAGGGCCAAAGUGGUUAACUGAAAAUAUUCAUUAUCACCCCGCCCAGGCUGGAGGCCCCUGGCUUCCAGUUUUGAAGCAGAGGUCAGCUGGGCGGUGUAGGACACUGCUCCCGGGUUGACCAAUGGGCCACAUCAAUGGGUCUGCUGUUUGGGGUCAAGAUCCCAAGACCCCAGGGGAAGUCAACAUCCAUCUGAGGCUCUCUCAGGCCCUGCAAGCCAUCUCUGGCCUCACUGCCCUCCCCUUUAGAAAUGUGGGAAUGAGGCUCAGAGAGGUUGAGCUGCUUGCCAAGUUUGCAUAGCCAAAAGGCGUCUGAACGAAACUGAGCAUUCGGGGUUGGACUUCCCCUCUUCGCCGCCUGCUCUGCUCUCCCAGGCACUACUGAGCGCGCUCGCGGUCGCCAGGAGCGGAUUGGGCCCCCGCCGCGCGCAAGCCUUGGUGACAGGGGAUGGCGCGGAGCUGCCUCUCCGGGAAAGUUGGAUCUGUGCGCCCAGACAUGGAAAAGGGAUUAGGACACCGGCAGAUCUUGCCCUCACAGAGCGGAGGUGGGGGCCUUGGAAGGGGCACACCGCCCGUAGGCGCGAAAUCCAAGAAGAAAAUGACACUCAUCAGCCAGCCUCGCGCGGGGAGAAAGGGCGGGGUGGGGGGUAGUGGCACCCUGCCCGUCCUCUCCCACCCCCACAGUCCGGGCCCACAGUCCAGGAGUCACAAGGGAUGUGAAUCCCCAGGCAUAAUGUGAACCCCCAACAAACCCAAGGCCUCAGAAUGCGCCUCACCUCUCCCUCCCCACCAGCAGAAACAUCCUCCCACUCUCCCAACCCCUGCUCCAGCCACGCCAACCCUUUAACCUUGUCCCAGAAUGUCUAAACUGUAUCUGCCUCUGUGCCUGUGCACAUGAAGUUGCCUUGGCCCGGCGUUUGCUCCACAGCCUUCUGCCAAACUCCUACUGCUUGAUGGCUGGAAGCCUUCGCACCCUGGCGCUCUCCUCCCAGGUCAGCAGUCACUGGCCUUCCUGUGCAUCCAGCCCAGCUUUGAACAGUCCUGGGCCCCAACCCUUAUCUUUUUCCGAGUAAUUACAUGGUUGCAUGAUUGGCUUCACCGCCUCUGGAUCAGAUGAGCGCUACUAAUGAAGGAUACAAGUUGUAAAACUAGGUUUUAUGUGAACUCCAGUCAUCACAGUUUAGGUGCGGCUAGCGAUUUUACAGAUGCGGGGUUAGUAACUGGCCCAAAUCCAGGGCUUCCGGGAUGCUGUUUUCCUUUUUUGUUUCUUAGCAGGGAUGGCAGAUGUUUGUAGAACAGAUCCGUGUAAAAGUCAGUAUCCUAAGAGAUUAAAUUGUAAAGCAGGACAAGAUAGUUAACGGUGUGUGUGUGUGUGUGUGUGUGUGUGUGUGUGUGUGUAUGUCUUUUCCAAAUUGAGAGGGAGGUAGAAGAAUUAGCCAAAACCCAGGAUUCACUCUGAGGUAGACCCACACCUCUUAGUUAGAUCCCAUUUAUUAAGCUGUAAUUAUUCACAGCGUUGCUGAAGAUAUACACAGGGCCCCUCCCAUCUCCCUGCGACUGACUGGUUCCAAGUAUGCUAUUAUAUGUGUUAUUAUCACUGUGGCUCAAUUAGAAGUGCUGCCGAAGGCCUUGAGGUUGCCACAGUCAAACUGCAGGUGCAGGCAGCGAGUAACAAUGAUUAUAAUGCCUGCAUCUGGAUCGCGCUUUUUGCUUUUCAGAAUGCUUUCAAAUGUGUCUCCUCAUUAAAUCUCUGCAAACAUCCUCCAGGUAGUUAGGAAAAGUUUAAUGAGUUUUGCCUGACAAGGGAAACCAAGACACAAAGAGGGCAGGUGACUUGCACAAGGAGAGAGAUGGCUCCCCCAGGCUGCUCCAAGGGUGGAGCUGGCCACUGUAACUCAAUGUCCUGCAGGAAGAGAUGGUUGGGUACAGUUAGGAGCUCAGGCUCUAGUGCCAAAGUGCCCAAUUUGCAACUUUCAGCUGAUUACUCAUACUUGGUUUCCUUUUCUGUUGAAUAGAUCUAAUAAUAGGAGCUUAUCUUGUA
rnacentral:lncRNA from 1 species